AUAAACAAGUGCCGCUCUGAUGCCAGCGAAGUCCGGCCAGUCCACCCUCACCUCGGCCUCCGGGCGGCACUGGCAUUUCUUGGGCACUUAGCAGGUGAGACGCUGCCACACACGCGAUCUCGGGCGUCUCUGGCCUCCGCGGGGUGCUCUUGUACCCCCGUCUCCCCUUACCAUCCGUGGGCACAGGCCUGGCCCCCCUCGCAUCCGCCAAGGCUAUCGACCCCGAAACGACGCGGUGCGCAAGUGGCCACGACACCUAGGCACUAAGUCAUUUUCCCGAGGUAGCGGUACCCUCUGCUCCAACGAAGCCAAUCUCCAGAAAACCUAACAGACUCAAGGUGUCCCUCUUCUCAAGGCGGCCGCCCACCGUCCCCACGCAGCCUCCUUCCUCACCCGCGGCCGCCGCGCCACAGCCUGCUGCACGCGCUCGUUCACCGCCCGCAAUGCGCACCCGACUCCCAGCUCGGCCGACAUGCUGCCAGCUCUCCACAUCCCCCGGGGACCGACGCCGAGCCCCAGGCCCCCGGCAGCCCGUGGCUCACACCAUCUUCCGGUUCCGCCCAGCUUGCGCCGUGUGAACCAAUCAUUGCUCAUCAUUGAGUCGUCUCACCCAAUCAACACCCGUGCAGCGUGGAGGCCCGCCCCCAGGCGGCGGCCAUCUUGGGGAGGUCACCCGCGAACCUGGAAAUGGAGCCUAGGGGCUGAGGUUUUGCGCGCCUGGUUCCAAGGGCCACUCCCCGUGUGCUCUCCUCUUUCCUGCGCCUCAGCCGCUGCCGUCCCCCCACCCCCAAGGGACUUUUGUGAGGCAGAAACGCAUCCUAUACUCGGGGGAUCCUGUUUCCUUUCAAAACGCCUUUCCAGGCUUGCCCGUUCCCGGCUUUCUGGGCGCGGGGACCAGAAUUAGAAGCCACUGGGGCGGGAGCCAGGGCUUUUCUCUGUCAGAUGGUUCUUGCGAGGAACCCCUAAGCGAUACGAAAGGAAACUCUUCUUUCUUCUUUUCCCUAAAGACAUGGCGUGAUUCAAACGUAUCGUGAUUUUUGUCAUCUUUCAGACCACUGCUGUCCAAGAGAAAUAUAACGCCAUCCAACUGUGUAAUUUGGAAGUUUCUCAUAGGCACAUAAGCUUAAAAAUUUUAAUGAUAUACUUUAUUUAAUCCAAUAUAUCCAAAGUAAGAUUUCAACAUGCAAUCAAUAGAAAAACUAAAUGCGAUAUUUUAAUUCUUUUGAAAAUCGUAUGUGUUUCUGAAACCCGGUGUAGUGUUGACUUGCAUAUGUCUCAAUUCGGGCCAUCCCUAUUUCGAGAGGUUAGCGGCCACCUGCGGCCAGUGCUGUCUCAUCAGGGGACACAGGCAGCAUGAUUAUUACUAUUAUUAUUAUUGAGACAGUCUCGCUCUGUCACCCAGGCUGGAGUGCGGUGGCCCGAUCUGGGCUCACUGCAACCUCCACCUCCCGGGUUCAAGCGAUUCUCCUGCCUCAGCCUCCCCAGUAGCUGGGACUACAGGUGCGAGCCACCGCGCCCAGCCCACAGGCAGCUUUAGAUGGUCUAGCAGGAGCUCAGCACAUUCAGUUAGAUUCUUUUUUUGAGAUGGGGUCUCGCUAUGUUGCCCAGAUUAUCUGGGACUCGUGGGCCCAAGCAAUCCUCCCACCUCCGCCUCACAGAAUAGCUGGGACUACAAACGGGCACCACAACGCCCUGAGUUUGAUUCUUGAGUCCCCUUCUGUGGGCAAUAUGGUUAUAAACUUGAUGAGGAGCCAGGCCAUACAAAUAAUAAUACAGAAUGCUACAUAGUCAGGUGGUGAAAUAGUAGGUGCUACGGGCAAGGAGAAGGAGAUCAAUUUUGUUAAGGAAAGCACUCUUGGCUGCAAUUUCUGUUGAAAGUUUCUCAAACAUUAAUUCAACUUAAUGAAGUGGGAUGCUAUUAUAUUAGAGAAAUGGCUAAUGUUUGUUCUUCAGGUGGUCUUGUCUUGAGGUGAUGGGGUUUAUUAGAGCUUUCCGGAAAGAAGGGGCAAUAUUCUUACUCUCUCCUCUCACAGUUUUUCCCCAGACUCCCAGGAACAGAGAUGGAAUUUCACAUCUUCUGCUCUGGGAAAGUCACAUUAGGCAGAACCUCAGAUCCUUAAAAUAAGGGACUUCUUUUUGGGAAGUCUCUGGUCAUUUACCCUGGUACACAUUAACUGGGUUAUCUGCAAACUAGGACUGCCAACAUUAGGAGUAAUUGUGUUCAGAUAAAAUGUCUCUAGACUUGAUACAUCUGUACUCCAACCAAAAUGAUAAAAAAAUUUAAAAUGACCAGAAUGGCCCUUUGUGGUGUGAGCAUAAUAGAUGCUUGCUGUAGAGACACAGGUGGGAAGGAGCGAGCCAGCAGUGAGUGAUGGGGAGGACAGAGGGGAUCAUGGUGAUGGGAUGUGUAGAGGAAGGAUUGGGUGAGAUGAAACACUUCAAAUAAUGUGCUAUUUGGAAAACAUUUUAAAACCAUAAAUACCUCACAGAUCUAGGGAAUGUAUAAUCCAGGUGUUACGUCACUAUGACAACAAGUAGUUGUAGCUUCAUUUACUAGAUUGGGCCUCUAUUCUUUUUUGUGUUUUUUGAGACGAAGUCUUGCUCUGUCACUCAAGCUGGAGUGCAGUGACGCGAUCUCGGCUCACUGCAACCUCUGCCUCCUGGGUGCAAGUGAUUCUCCUGCCUGAGCCUCCCGAGUAGCUGGGACUACAGGCGUGCAUCACCACGCCCGCCUAAUUUUUGUAUUUUUAGUACAGAUGGGGUUUCACUAUGUUAGCCAGGUUGGUCUCGAACUCCUGACCUUGUGAUCCACCCGCCUCGGCCUCCCAAAGUGCUGGGAUUACAGUCGUGGGCCACCGUGCCCAGCCAGGGACCUCUAUUCUUUGAACUACAAGGCAAGGUCAUCCUCCCACCCCCUUAUCCAUUCAGUGAACAUUUACUGAGGCGUUACUCUGUAAAGAACCCUGAGAGAGACCAGGCUGAGUAAGACAGGCUUUACUGCCGAUUUACUUCCAAUAUGCUCGCUUUUCAUCUCUGACAUUCUGUGGUCUUAUGAAAAUGGAAAUGGAGACAAAAAGAUCAUGGUGCCCCCAGUCCCAUGGUCAUUUCACAUUCCAAUUUCUUCUUAGUUGUACUUUUGAAUUAAUUUUAUUUCACUUUGUCCCUUUUUUUCCUUAUUUGCUUUUUUAAUUUCUUCUCUUCCUCUUCCUGGGACAUCAACCAUCCAAUUUAACCUUUCAUCCUCCCCUACUACCUAAUCCUUGAAAAAUACAAGUCCAAAAUCAUUUCAUCACCAGUAAUUGUCUUUAAAUUGCUCCAAUAAUUUGCAAGGACCAAGGGGAAAAGAGAAAGAUUAAAAAGCCAAAUGCCCAGAGAAACAGAUUUUAUAAAUAAUCUAAAAUCUAGUAUACUUAUUCACCAUCAAUGCCAUCAAGCUUUUAAAACACCCUCAUAGUCUGGAAUAAAUCCAAAUUAUGAGAAAAACAUAUAUGGAUUUAAAAAUUGUUUCCUUCUGAGCCUACUGUGAGUCUUUUAGGGGGAUAAAAAAGUAAAAAGUAAAAUAGAAAAUUACUGUUGCCUGGUUACUUAGCUCUAAAGAGAAACGGAGAAAUAAUGCCCAUGUCCCAUCCCAGUUUAAAUGAAUUCAGGUAGAGUAGCCCAUGACAGCAAGCCCUUGGCACACAUGCCAUCACAUCUGGCCUUUGAAAUGUCUAUAGAGAUAGUAGAACCCUAGACCUAGGGAAGACUUAGGGAGGUUUCAUACAGAAAGAAUGACAUUUAAACCAUCCCAAACAGCACAGAGUCUUCACAAUUUCUGAAGACCAUCAGAGAAGAAUAUUUAUUUUCUAUUUGCAAGUAACUACUCCUCCCCAUUUGAAAAUUUAGCAAGCCUGAUCUUAAGUAAAUUCUUUACAAAUCCUCCUUUAUUCAAGUGAAUUUCCUCUUUUUAGCUACCAGUAUGUAACUUUUAUAAUCGUGAAGUCAUUAAAUGUCCCUUCUGCCUUUUCUGGCAUCAACCUAUGAGCUUUAUUUCUUAAUUACUUUUUUUUUCUUUUUGGUUUUAACAUUUUCUUUCUAGCUUCUUCAAAUUUUUUUCAUUUUUAAAAUUGGAGACCAGAACUGGACAGUUCCUCUCAACAGGGCCAAAUCAGAUUCUUUUCUUUUUUUUGGAGAUAGAGUUUUGCUCUUGUUGCCCAGGCUGGAGUGCAGUGGCGUGAUUUUGGCUCACUGCAUCCUCUACCUCCCAGGUUCAAGUGAUUCUCCUGCCUUAGCCUCCCAAGUAGCUGGGAUUUCAGGCAUGCACCACCAUGCCCGGUUAAUUUUCUAUUUUUAGUCGAGAUGGGGUUUCUCUAUGUUGGUCAGGCUGGUCUUGAACUCCCGACCUCAGGUGAUCCACCCACCUCAGCCUCCCAAAGUGCUAGGAUUACAGGUGUGAACCACCGUGCCUGGCUUCUUUUCUUUUCUUUUCUUUCUUUAAACCAGGUUAUUUUCUACACAACAUUUUUGUAGAGGUAUGUAUCCUCAAUACUGUGUUUGCUGCAUUGCAAUGUCAUUCCCUUCUUCUAUGUGCUAUCCCAUUUGUAAUCUUAUUCCAUUUUUUUUCACGUGUUUGGCUUUCUACUUAGUGGCUCCCAUUUAAUAGCUGUAUGUUUUUUAGCCCGUUUCUCCAGAUUGAAGUUUUUGAAUACAUACAUGCAAGGUACAGUGUGAAAGCCCUUCGUAUGCAUUAUUUCAUAUAAGCCAUGCAACUCAUUUUAUUAAUGAAGAAACUGAGGCUUAGAGAGGUCAAAAAACUUAUUCAAGACCACACACCUAAGAAGUAGUAGAGCAGUGAUUUGAACUUUGGCAGUCUAACUGCAGUAACUACACUCUUAACAUAACUAUUCAAUUGUUAAGAUCAUAUUAUUUGUGUAGCAGGCUCUCAAACCAAUAGAAAAAGCUUGGGAUCCCUGUUAAAAAAAACCUGAGAAAGCCUGGGCUAGGGUUGCCGGACUUAACAAGUAAAAAUACAGGAUACCCAGUUAAAUAUGAAUUACACAUAAGCAACAAAUACUUUGGUAUGAGUAUGUCUCAUGCAGUGUUUAGGACACAUAGUACUUAGACUAAAAAUUGUACAUUGUUGAAAUUCAUAUUUAACUAGGUAUCUUAUGUUUUAUCUGGCAACCCUAAGCUGGGCAGCUUUCCAGAGUAAAGACUGGGAGUUCGUCCACUGAACUGAUAUCAAAAUGAAUUUUGGUUCACUUGAAAAUAUCUUUGUCCUUUGGAGCAGAAUUGCAGUGGUGUGUGAACUGUUUAAAAUGAUAAAUCUCUAUAGCACCUACCAAGAAUUAUGCCACGUUCACAAAUUCUGUAUCGAUAAUGGGGAUAGAUUUUCAUCUGUUUAUUUUUAGAGAGAUCUUGUACUUAACUCACUAGUCUGGGAUGUUUUAUUUAUGUCACCUAAUAUUAACUAUUGCUAAAUUUCACUUUAAUAAAAAAGUAGAUACAAAGA